AGAAAUUGAAAGUUGUGAAUCUUAGAGAACAACUAGCAUAGCGCUUAGCACCAAGUUCACACCAUAAUUGCUUUUCGGAUAGUGAUUCUUCUAUGGUACAAUAACUUGUCGACAUCUGUUUCUAACGAUCUAAAAGCAAUGAUCUUUUUUAUUUUCUUCUUCAAAUAUUGAUCAAAUAUGAAAAGUGCAAAGACCCACAUACCAGAGACGUUUCACCGUUGGGAGGUUUAGAUCUGCUGGUUUAGACGCGUUCAACACCAAACGACAAAGACCAUAGCCAUUUGGGUUUCCGGUUGCUCUUCGUUUUCUAAGUAUAUAUUUGAAUAUUUCAUGAGAAAACAGAUUUGAACGAGGUGAGGGGGCGGUGAGAAGCAGAGAUGUAGGCGGAACUGAGAUGUUGCAAUUGGAUCUGAACGAUGGUAAGCGGCCGAUUUACAGUCCAAAAAUCGGUAGAUCUGAACAACAAAGGUAGUCGACGAUGUAGUGGAAUUGAGAUCUUGGACAGAAAAGAGAUCCACGAGCGAAGGUACCCACGAUGGUGGAUCUGGUACCAGCGAAGGAAGACGAACAUGGAACAGUUGCAGAAGAUGAGAAAAUUGGUGGAGGCAGCGGUGACUGCACAGAGGAUCUACUUGAGAACAUUCAUCCUCUCACCCUUAGAGAUUUGGGAUUGAUUCUAUACAUACAAUUUAGUUGUGGAAAUUGCUUUGGUUUUGGAAUUGUGGCUAUUCAAGCUUAGUUGGGUCUUACUGGUAUUUGAUCUUCAAUGGCAACUGAAGUUCAAAUGAGAUAAGUUGGUAAAUUCCAAAGGCAGCAAAGGAUAGAAACCAUAAGAUCUAUGGAAGGAGAGUUGUGUUCAAUUCCUCCAAUGAAUUUGAAGGGUGAAGUUUGCUAGAAGUGUUGAAAAAUUAAAUUGGUCAGAAACAUUAUUCUCCAUCUUUUCACCUUCUCUUGCGCCAUCACUUGAUAUGAUUGAGAUUGCUAGAAUCAAUGGAAAUUUAAGGAGUAAAAUGUAUUGUGGGGGUCUCAACCAUAGUCAUUGAAAGUUCAAGAGGACAGUAGUUCUUCUACGAUGCAGUAAUUUUUCAACAUCUGUUUCUAACCGUUUUCCCUCUAGAUGGGAAUUGAGGAUUGAGGCUGUCCAUAAUUAAGAUAUUUGUUUCCUAUUUUUUUGUUUUGUUCAUUUUUCAUUUAAGGGGGAAAAAAGUAGAAUGGUGUGAUAUAUCCAUCUCGUUUAUUUAUAAGUCUUGUUAUAUUAUUUGACUUAGUUUUAGGUUUGAACAUUAUUGUUGUAUAAAGUGUGUGUACUAUAUCUAGUUGAGGUAUAAUUAAUUUGUUACUA